GCCGCGAUAGCUCAGUUGGGAGAGCGUUAGACUGAAGUCCCGGAGGCCGACACACCGGCCUGUCUAACUGGUGAUCUAAAGGUCCCCGGUUCAAUCCCGGGUCGCGGCA
rfam:Branchiostoma floridae genomic scaffold BRAFLscaffold_14, whole genome shotgun sequence.